GACGAACGCUGGCGGCGUGCUUAACACAUGCAAGUCGAACGGAAAGGCCCUGCGUUUGUGGGUUGCUCGAGUGGCGAACGGGUGUGUAACACGUGAGUAACAUGCCCUUGACUUAGUGAUAUCUUCUGGGGACUGGGGCGAUUACCGCGUAGAAUCUCUUGCUGCGUGGGGGGGGUUGGAGAGAGUCGGCGGUGGGGGCUGGACUCGCGGCUUAUGAGCUGGAUUGGGGGGUAGUGGAUUACCAAGGCUAUGACGGGUAGCCGGCAUGGGAGCGUGAACAGCCACAAUGGGACUGCGAGACGGCGCAGUAUCCUACCGGACGCAGCAGUGGGGAAUCUUGCACAAUGGGCCGAAGCCUGAUACAGAAGUGCCGCGUGCGGGAUGACGGCUUUCGGGUUGUAAACAGCUUUCGCAUGUGACGAAGCGUGAGUGACGGUAAUGGGUAAAGAAGCACCGGCUAACUACGUG
rnacentral:rRNA from 1 species